GGGAGGAGCAGCGGGGGCAGGAGCAGCAGGAGGAGCAGCGGGAGGAGCGUGCGGGUCUGACCGGGGCUGGUGGCGCUGGUGCUCGGCUCGCAGAGGGAGACGCGGUCGUGCGCAUCGCGUCGGAGCGGAUCUGAAUCAGGAACAGUCAACAACUAUGGGAUGGAUCACCUCGACCCCGGUGGACGGAUGUGGAAUGGGUCAAGGAAGAACUCGUUAAGUUUAAUCUGGAUCAGGGAUCUUGGAUUUAUUUCACUUUUAUUAUUGUGAAAAUGAUGAUGAUGAUCUUCGUGUUAACUGUGAAUCCCAACGAGUCUUCAAAAUAUGAAUUCCUUCUUCCCGUGCUCGUCAGUCUCUACACAGCAGACGGAUAAUAAUAUAUAAUAACAACAAACUCACUGUUCCGGUCAGAUGCAGAGCUUUUAAACCCGCUGUGCAGACAGUCAGUCUGCCGGCUUCAAUGAAAGGAAACGCCUUAAUGUGAUAUUAAUUGAUUUUUAACUUUGCAGAUCAAUACUUGCAACACCACACACAUCUACUGUGCAGAGCCUUGAUGUUGUCAGGAGCUCAGUGGGAGAAGGUUUCAGAAGAGCUCAAACCUCCACCAAGGACCAACUGUCAAUAAAUUCAACCAAGCUGCACAAACUCAUGA